rnacentral:rRNA from 16 species
GGGCGAAAGGGACUGAAAUAUAGUAGGGAAGUCGGCGAUGUCCGGAGGCGAGAAAAGCCUAUGUGUAUGCUAAGGUGCCCGUACCGCAAACCGACACAGGUAGAUGAGGAGAGAAUCCUAAGGCCAACGGGAGAAGG